UACGUAGGGUGCGAGCGUUAAUCGGAAUUACUGGGCGUAAAGCGUGCGCAGGCGGUCUCGCAAGUCCGAUGUGAAAUCCCCGGGCUCAACCUGGGAACUGCAUCUGUGACUGCAUCGCUGGAGUACGGUAGAGGGGGAUGGAAUUCCGCGUGUAGCAGUGAAAUGCGUAGAGAUGUGGAGGAACACCGAUGGCGAAGGCAGCCCCCUGGGUCAAGAUUGACGCUCAUGCACGAAAGCGUGGGGAGCAAACAGG
rnacentral:rRNA from 1 species